rnacentral:rRNA from 1 species
UACGGGGGGUGCAAGCGUUGUUCGGAUUUAUUGGGCGUAAAGCGCGUGUAGGCGGUUUGUUAAGUCUGAUGUGAAAGCCCUGGGCUCAACCCAGGAAGUGCAUUGGAUACUGGCAGACUUGAAUACGGGAGAGGGUAGUGGAAUUCCUGGUGUAGGAGUGAAAUCCGUAGAUAUCAGGAGGAACACCGGUGGCGAAGGCGGCUGCCUGGACCGAUAUUGACGCUGAGACGCGAACGCGUGGGUAGCAAACAGG